AUGUCGUCGGAGCACCCUGUCCGUUCACAGCCACCACUUUCAGGCCGUUCAACGCCACCACCCGAAGCGGUUCACCGUAGCAAAACCAUGGAUCCCGCUGCCACCAUGUCUCUGUCCUGCUACAGCAUGGCUCAGCUACUGCACUUGGUGGAGGGCACAGCCUUUCCCCUCUGGAAUGCAAGUGUUCAUGAGGUAGGAGUGGAGAAGGAAGAUGGAAUCUGCUGGCUAUGGUGGAGGUACCAUACUUUGAUAUGA
rnacentral:rRNA from 1 species